CUCCCUGCGUAUGGGAAACGCAUCCCAAAGCAGCCUUGUUUCGCCUUCGGACAUGGGUGGCCCCUUCUGCCCACCCCUUCCCAAGGCUGAAGAUUGCCUGUUGGAGCUUCCUGCGUUGAAAACAAAAAUCUUCAGUUCCAUUGCCAUUGCCAUUGGCCCAGCCCUGCUGGUUGGGACCUGGAGGGCUGGACUAAGGAAAGCAAGGGGACACCAGCCAGGCUGAGGCCCGCCUCCAGGGUACAUAGAGAUGCUGCCCCAUCCUCACUCCCGGAUGUUCUACGGGCCUUCUGCAACCACCCCUAUCCCGGCAGAAAUGCCUAUCGGUUCUCCAUUCUGAUCUGCGCCAGCUCAGCCUCCGCAGAGUGAGGGAAAUUAGCAUGGCCAGGGGCUCUCUCCUGUCACUCCAGAUCCAUCUGUUGCCUCCAAAGUUUCCCUAGGACGAGGGCCGCUGGCCAAGGCUGACAGGUCUGAGAAGAGCAGCCCUCAUUUCACACUGAGCUGCACCCUGAGCCUCAGCCCUGCCACCAGCACGCCAGCCUCCCUGCUCUAACUUCAAGCCCAAGUGCCCUUGGCAGGGGUGCCAUCCUGCCUGCUGUGGGCCUGCGUGCUGUCCAAACAGCCUGGGCACCCGAGAUUGUCUCGCCGGCCAAUCACAGCAAGUGUGGAGCCCGCGGCCGUUCCCUGCGCACAGUAGUCCCUGCCUCGUGCCCACCGUAAAGACUGCCUUUAUCACUCGGGAGGUUCAUUCAUUCAUUUACUAUUCAUUUAUUCUUUCAUUCACUCAGCAAAUAUUUACAAAGCCCUCACUCCGCGUGAGGACAGUACAGACAUGAAUUAAGUACACAUGGUUCCACGGUUCUUAGUGGUUCCGACCAGGAGAUAAGGAAAUCCUUGUUUGCCGUCUGUAGGGCUCGCUGCUCUUUCUUGCUUGCCAGGGUGUUCUGGUAACAGCACCCUGAUUUUCCUCAGAACAGCACCUUGCUGCUUCAGUCUACAAAUCUGGAGGGCCUGGUCCAGCUCUAGCUCUGUCGUGAGCAGGUGACCAGGCUGCUCUGGCAGUCGAAAGAGCUAGCUGCAAGGCCAAACUAUGCUACUGAGCUGCUGUGUGACCUUGGGCAAACAGCUUCCCUUCUCUGGGCUACAUGAUCUCUAGGCAUCUGUCCAAUAAAUACACUAUUUCUAAAUCAAUUAGACAGAAAUGCUGAGGCUUGGAACAGGAGCCAGAGAACGUGAGGCUGACCAGUGACCCCUUAGGAAGGUGGCUGCCAUCUGUCCUGUUUCGGAAGCCUCUCCCUCUGCUGGACUCCAAAAGCCCUGCCUUGAAACAGCUGCCCUACCACUCCCAAUGCAACUUCCCAAUACCAUUUCUCUCUUUUCAUUUUUCUUCUGUUCCAAGGCAGAACAGGGUAGGAAAUCGUGUCAAAUAAAGACAGAAGUGCUUGAUGUUCCUAAUGGCAUCCCAAGGAAAUGAAGUGUAAAAUCACACGAGUUAUUUAGCUUCACAUACUGCUUUUAUCAGAGUCCUGGACAGAACUCCUUAGCAGGAGAAAGCCUGAUUUCCUUGGAAAGAUGGAAUUCUGGUGACAGCAGCAGGGAGCUGGGCUCUCCCGGCACCGAUGCAGGAUGGAAAGGUCUGUAAGUCACGCCGAGGCAAAAACCAAGACACAAAUCGCCCCCCACCCCAACGCACACACACACACACAGAGCAAGACCACAUUUUAUCCCCACUUUUCAAAGGCAAAGUUGUGUGUGGGCUUUCACUCAGCCAGCUUUGAAAGAUCCCUUAACUCCAGGAUGCUCUUAGAGUAAAAUCCGAACUCCCUGCUUUGUCUUCCAAGCCCAACAAAGUUGGAGCCAGCCUUGGGUUCCAGCUUACCCUGCGCACUCUCCCUCCUCAAGGCCCUCCGGUCCGCCUGGCUCCUUUCUGUUCCUCGAAGACUCCAGGCUCAUGCCACCUAGGAGCAUCGCCCUGAAGUGCGUCUUGUCCAGAGUGCUCCUGCAUAGCUGUCCCCUCCUUCCCUUCAGGGCUCAGCUCAAAUGCCAUUUGUUCUGAGAAGCAUCCCUGGACUACCCCUGGUCCGAGCAGGCCACUCUUUUUGGUUUUCUCCUGGCAUUUAUCACUCUCUGGGAUUGCAUUGUUUAUUCGUUGUUUAUUUUCUGAUUCCUCCUCCUAGAAAGUGAAUGGUGGGGUGGGGGAGAGGAAGACAGGAAUUACACUGGUUUUGUUCAUCAUUGUAUCCUCAGAGUCCUCAACAGUGCCUAGCACAGGAUGGGUAAAUCUGCCGGAGUUCAACUGGAAAAGUGGAAAUAGGAGUUAUAUACAUGUAAAUUAUUUUAUGGGAUUUGUUAUGGAGAAUUGGCUUAUGCAUUUGUGGGAACCGGGUAAGCAGUCUUUGUCAGGCUGCGUGUCAAGUCUGAUGCUGGUGUCAGGUCCACAGGAUAGGCAGUCGAGAGGAAAGGCAGAUGUCAAGUAGGGAGAGCAAGAACCCACGAGCACAAGCUAGAGCCCCAGGAUGGCAGCCUGAAGCCCGUGGCUAUUCUUGUUGCCUCUGACCACAGUGGUGAGGCUGUCCUGCAGAAGCCUAGCCCUUCAUCACAGAGCUGAACACAUACACGCGGCUGGGAGUCGAAAAGUAGCAAGAAGUUGCCGGGGAAGGUUGCGGGUGUUGUGGCAGGCUGCUUCACUCCAGUGAGGUGAGUCAGCAGAUCAGCAGCAACGUGUGUCAACUGCAAAACACGGCUGCAGCCUCUCUUGCCUUCUGAAUCUUGCAAGAACCUUCCAAGAAUCUUCCCUGUGGUCCAUCUGAACUGCAAACAUGCAGGAAAGAUAAUUCCAGGAAAUGCAGUUGAGCCUGGCCAAGUUAAUAGUCUCUGAAGCCAUCAUAGGUCCACAUCAACGCUGAUGGAUGAAGAGAGGGAGUGGUUUUAGACUAAAGUGUGAACUCCUUAUCUGGCACACCAAUCUCAGGGUCCAGCCUCUGCCUGCUAUCAGCCACCUAUCCAAAGUCUAUCUGCUCUCCAGCCCCCAUCAGGGUCUCUAAACCCUUGGGCUCAUUUGGACUGUCCCCUCUGUCCAGAACCCUCUUCCUUGCCCAUCUGCCUGGGUAACCCUCAGCACCUUCUAAGACUCAAGCUUUAAGCAAGACCUCCUUUUGGAGUCAUUUCACAUCAAGAUUGAGUCACAGCCUCAGCUGUACUCCCCUCUUCAUUCUCCUACCUGGAAACAACUAUUAUCCACAUGUCUCAUGUCUCUUUCCGGAGAUGGCCUAGUCAUUUACCAACAAAAUGUAUAUUUCUUUUUUUCUCACAUGUAAGAUAGCAUACAAUACAUUUUUUCUGGAUCUUGUGAUUUUUUUCUCUUAACACUAUAUUCUGAAGAUCUUUCCAAAUCAAAAUAUACAGAAAUUCUUUAUUCUUUUUAAAGGUUGCCUGAAGUUUCAUGUGGGUGGACCAAAUUUGUUUAACUUGUUGCUUUUGCUGGAUGUUUAAAUUGUUUCUCAUUCUUCACUGGGAUAAACAACACUGCAGUGAACAUCCUUACACGUGCCUAGAUCAUGCUCCUGCCCCUUCUACACCUGGCCGACUUCCAGUGCUCUAUAGGAUUAACAUAAAUAUCACCUCCUCCAUGAAGCCCACCUAAAUCUUUCCUAAAUUGGGUUGGCUGGUUGCCCCACUUUGCCUCCUAGGCAGCUACUUGCACUGCAACACUUACCAUGAGCUAUUGAUGUGUCCAACUUGCCCUGUGACUUGUUCAUCUGUGAAUGUCCUGCACAAUUUCACAGUACCUGACACACAGUAGAUACUCAAUAAAUGUUUGUGAAUUCAAUACACAUCAAAUUUAAACCCCUAACUCUUGGGGCCUCCAA
rnacentral:lncRNA from 10 species